rnacentral:rRNA from 1 species
UACAGAGGUCUCAAGCGUUGUUCGGAUUCAUUGGGCGUAAAGGGUGCGUAGGCGGCGCGGUAAGUCGGGUGUGAAAUCUCGGGGCUUAACUCUGAAACUGCAUUCGAUACUGCCGUGCUUGAGGACUGGAGAGGAGACUGGAAUUUACGGUGUAGCGGUGAAAUGCGUAGAUAUCGUAAGGAAGACCAGUGGCGAAGGCGGGUCUCUGGACAGUUCCUGACGCUGAGGCACGAAGGCCAGGGGAGCAAACGGG